GCCUAACACAUGCAAGUCGAGCGAGAAAGGGAGCAAUCCCCGGUACAGCGGCGCACGGGUGAGUAACACGUAGGUAGCCUACCCUCGAGUGGUGGAUAACCUUCCGAAAGGAGGGCUAAUACAGCAUGAGCCCACGGUGUCGAGAGACGCUGGGGGAAAAGCCGGCCUCUUCAUGAAAGCUGGUGCUCGAGGAUGGGCCUGCGGCCCAUCAGCUAGUUGGUGAGGUAAUGGCUCACCAAGGCUAAGACGGGUAGCUGGUCUGAGAGGAUGAUCAGCCACACUGGAACUGAGACACGGUCCAGACUCCUACGGGAGGCAGCAGUGGGGAAUCUUGCGCAAUGGGCGAAAGCCUGACGCAGCGACGCCGCGUGAGUGAUGAAGGCCUUCGGGUUGUAAAGCUCUGUGGAGGGGGAAGAAUAAGGCAUGGCUAACAUCCAUGUCGAUGACGGUACCCCUUUAGCAAGCACCGGCUAACUCUGUGCCAGCAGCCGCGGUAAU
rnacentral:rRNA from 1 species